UGGGGAAUAUUGCGCAAUGGGCGAAAGCCUGACGCAGCGACGCCGCGUGAGGGAUGAAGGUUUUCGGAUCGUAAACCUCUGUCAGAAGGGAAGAAACCGCACUGUGCUAAUCAGCAGUGCCUUGACGGUACCUUCAAAGGAAGCACCGGCUAACUCCGUGCCAGCAGCCGCGGUAAUACGGAGGGUGCAAGCGUUAAUCGGAAUUACUGGGCGUAAAGCGCACGUAGGCUGCUUUGUAAGUCAGGGGUGAAAUCCCACGGCUCAACCGUGGAACUGCCUUUGAUACUGCUUAGCUUGAAUCCGGGAGAGGGUGGCGGAAUGCCAGGUGUAGGAGUUAAAUCCGUAGAUAUCUUGAGGAACAUCAGUGGCGAAGGCGGCCACCUGGACCGGUAUUGACGCUGAGGUGCGAAAGCGUGGGGAGCAAACAGG
rnacentral:rRNA from 1 species